rnacentral:lncRNA from 1 species
AGCAGUCCACGUUGUAGGGGAUGAGAGGGAGAUGGGGUGCAGGGAUAAGACACAGUUACAAGGACACACUCCUCUGGUCUGUUUCCUCAGAGAGGCACUGGUGCACAGUACCAUCCUAUUCUAAAAGGGAGGGAUAAGACAGUAACAAGAAAAGAUUAGACAGAAUCAAGACUCUGUCGGGAGGAUGAACAUUGAAUCCUGUAGCCUCUGCCUGGCAUCUUGGCCAUGUGCUUUUUGUGAUACAAGAUCAGAAAGGCAGGCAACCCUGUCCCGUCAGCAUGGCUACCUCAAGACUCCUCUCUUGGGCUGGCUAUCCUUAACUGCUUUUUCCUUUGGGAAGGAUUUCAUAUUCCUAGUCAUCUUUUAUCUUGUGGGACUCCAUUAUAUCUACUCCUUCCCUCUCAUAGCUUCAUAUACCAUCCUCUUAGGGGCUGGAGUCCUAUGGAGACGCCAACCCUGUCACACAUUUAGUGCCCCCACCCCCGGCUUUCUGUUAUAAUCUUGAUAGAGGACUUUAUGACCCCAGAA